UUCUGUUUUAUCUAUGGUAUGGAUAUUUACUUUGCAAUAAUUUUCAUGACAUGAGACUACAUUUUGCUGCAAUUACAAGCGAUUUGAUCUGGUUUUGUUAUAAUUUCGUUUCAAUUUUAUGCGAAUAGGUACUGAGUUUAUAAAAGUAACAUAAUAUUGUCUUGUAUAUAAUUAGUUUUUGUGUAUUUCGGAUUCCGUUUACAUCUAGGUACCUACUAUGUCGGGGUCCUACCAGAAAGCUGGCGUAUCAACGCCACGAAUAUUCAGGCGCCCGUAAAUCGUCAAAACGAGUGAAAAGCGCAUUCAGUUGGAUACAUGUGGACGACAAGAUAGUAAACCUGUAAAUUAUAACUCAAGUUGUGGCCAGCUUCAUUGUAAACAAACUUUAGUUUUCAAGUUCAAGGACAAAUGUGUGUCAGUAACAUGGAUAAAUGCUACUUCAUAUGUUUUAUUUCAGUCAAUGAACCUUUGACUGUUAUAGAAGUUUGUCGAGAUAAUAUAAUGACUUUAUCAGCAAUAUGAUGCCAAAGUUAAUACACUUUUUUAAAGAAUGUAUUCUGCCAGAAAUAGUUUUGAGACAUGUUCAAAAAAAUGCGAAAUGUAUACCUAGGUAUGAAAGCAGCUGUGUAGCGGUAGUUUCCAGGCAAUAAUGAAGAAGGAUGAGUGAAAACAACACGACAAAUGUUUUUUAUUGUACUAUUAUAGUAGUGCGUUUAGAAUCUACAUUAUCAAUAUUUACAGUCAUGUUUUUUUUGAUGUCAGAAAACUGAAAUGGUGUACUCGUCGUAAUGAACAUAAUGUUCAUAAUGUGAUAUGAAUACAUUGACCUAUUUUAAGGUUUCUGAAAAACAAAAAGGAAAGUUGUUGCUUUUUUAUUUCCUUAUGUAGUAUAGUGAUUAUGGAUGCUUAGAUAUUCUCAAACAUUUUUCCGCUUUGAUUGCAAUCUAUUAUUCUGGUUGCCUUGUUUAUGAAUUAUAGUUUUGAAUUAUUAUUUUGAAUGAGAUUAUUUUUUAAUAAUCAGUCACGUAUCAAGCAUUCAUGUCACAUAAAUACUUGUAAUAAUUGCAGGUUAGUAUAUACAUUCUAUUAAAUAAUGUAUAAGAUAAUAAAAUAAAACUGUCUUACAUUGCA